UCAAUAGUUAGUGCUCAAUCACAAGACAGUUCAGCAGAGCGUGAAGACUUGGAUCAGUAUGAAGUCGGAUACAACGGGCUCAACCUGGUGAAGGUGGGUCUCCCUCAACUGCGUAAUCGCUGCAAAACCAUGGGCAAUUGUGUUCAUGAUAGGCUGUGUGAUAGCAGUUGCAAGCAGUUUGGGUACAAGGAUGGAGAAUGCAGUGGAAGAUCCUGCAUUUGUUGUGCCUAAUCAUCGAGCUGCUAGAUUCAGUGUUUGUUUGAGAGAGUGUUGAUAAUUAUCAAACAACAAGAG
rnacentral:lncRNA from 1 species